GCAUUAAUGGGGUAGUGGUAACCUGGGUCGUUGCCACAGCUAGAUGAGCUACACCAUCGACCCGCCGGGGGUUCGAUUCCCGCUUAAUGCA
rnacentral:tRNA from 1 species